rnacentral:rRNA from 1 species
AUUGAACGCUGGCGGCAGGCCUAACACAUGCAAGUCGAACGAGUGGCGGACGGGUGAGUAAUGUCUGGGAAACUGCCUGAUGGAGGGGGAUAACUACUGGAAACGGUAGCUAAUACCGCAUACCAUCAGAUGUGCCCAGAUGGGAUUAGCUUGUUGGGGGGGUAACGGCUCACCAAGGCGACGAUCCCUAGCUGGUCUGAGAGGAUGACCAGCCACACGGGGAAGGAGAAACGGGCCAGACUCCUACGGGAGGCAGCAGUGGGGAAUAUUGGACAAUGGGCGGAAGCCUGGUGGAGCCAUGCCGCGUGUAGGAAGAAGGCCUUCGGGUUGGAAAGGACGUUCAGCGGGGAGGCGUUACCCGCAGAAGAAGCACCGGCUAACUCCGUGCCAGCAGCCGCGGUAAUAC